UUUUUUUUAUUAUUUUUUUUUCUUUUUUCUUUUUAGGACCACAACCACAGCAUAUGGAAGUUCCCAGGCUAGGGGUCAAAAUGGAGUUGCAGCUGACAACCAACACCACAGCCAUAGCAAUGCUUCCUCUGUAACCUACACUGGAGCUCAUGGCAAUGCCAGAUCCUUAACCCACUGAGCUAGGUCAGGGAUCGAAACUACAUCCUCAUGGAUACUAGUUGGGUUCGUUACCACUGAGCCACAGCAGGAACUUCAGGAUGGUUCCUACUGAUAAUUCAUUUGUAUAUUAUCAUUUAUUUCUUCCUCUGUUCCAUAGCUAGUUGAGUUAGAAUGCAAUCAUUAAACAAGUGUGCAGAACUUAUAUUCAGAUAGAAUACCUUGAAAAUGGGAGAAUAUUAUUCAGUAUUAUAAACCAGUUUUUAUAAUAAAAGUGAAAUGCUUAUGUUAUCACCUGAAUUGAGAAAAGCAAGAUACAAAAUUCAGUGUGCAGAAUAAAUUCAAAAAUUGUAAGUUUGAAAAAAGUAGAAAGAAAAUCCAUUAAUGGUAAUGCAGUGGAUUUCAGAUGUGGAACCCUGGUGAUUAUUUUUCUGCUUCUCUCUACUUUUUGUGUUUCCUAAGUUUUCAAUAACGAGCAGGUUGCAGAAAAUAACAGUGACACCUUUUUCACUUGUAAGGAACGUUUUCCCAUAGAUCAAUUGCCAUGGAAAAAAAUUUUAAGUUAUUAAAUAAUUAUCUACAAACCACGUCAAGAGGCCAUAAGGUUUUAUGGGUGAAUUCUUUCAAACACUGAGGGAACUACAUCACAUCAGUCUGAUGCCACAUAAUUUGUUUCAGAGCAUAGGAAAAGCUGAAAAACAGUUUUUUCAUGAAGAAAGUAUAACUCUGAAACCCAAACUUAUCACACACACACACCCCACUUAUGGAUCAAUGACACUAAUCAAUGUAGGCAGAAAAAUACUAAAAAUAAUAGCCAAUCAAAUUCAACAGCAUCUAAAAGAAUUAUCCUCUGCAAUCAGAUAAUCUAGGAAUGAAUGAGUGAUUUAAUACCAGGAAAACUAUUGCUAUAAUGAACAUCAUCAAUAGGACAAAGGAGAAAAGUCAUGUCAAUGAACACUAACCAAGCAGUAGGUAAAAAUUUUAAAAUAUAUUUCAUAAAACUGGAAAUAGAGAGAUCUUUAAUAUGCUCAUUGAUCAUCAUACUUAGCCAUAAACAAUGGUAAUUAUGGGCAUUGUGCUCUGAAAUCAUCCUGGCCUAGGUUUAAAUUCUAGAUAGACAUUUUCCGCCUAUGAGACUUUCACCAAGUUACUUAAUCUUUCUGCCUCAGUUCUGUCUGUAAAAUUGGUAGUAUAAUUUCUUAUCGCACAAGGUUAGUGUGAGCAUAAUUUAAAAGACGCAUGCUAAAUGCUUAGUACAGAACCUGGAACUUAGAGGUACUCAGUAAGUGUUAUAAAAAUACGUAUAUUAAGUACUAUUUAAUACAUUGUACAUUGUAUUUGUACAUUGUUAUUGAUACAUUGUACAAAUGCAUAAAAUAUUUUAAAUAAAUUCUAUGAUGAGGAUAAUAAAUAGCAGUAAUGAUAAUAAAACCGACGUACUUCAGAAUUUACUUGUGGAGAUUCUUCUCUCCUACAUCCCAAAUACCCCUUCCUGAGCAGCUUCUCCCAGAUGAUUCUAAUACAUAUCAAAUGUUGAGAGUCACUAAAUUAGAGACAUUUUUGGUAAAAUUAGAAAUAAGAGAAUAUAAAAUAUUACCAAACUGUUGACUAUUGUUCUGAAAAAUCUGAGCAAUGCCAUUGUCAUGAAAUAGAACGGAGAGAUAUAAUAUAGCUGGUGGAGGUAUAUUUGUUAUUUUAAGAUGGUCAUUCAUUAAACAGAGAAAAUUCAAGACGAUGAAACACUCCCCUCACGAUGAGCUCUCUUAGAAUCAAACAGAAUCAAAUCAGGACAGUAGUCAGAUACAAGAUCAAUAUAUUUAAAAAAAAACAAACUUCCAACCAUAUCCAUUUAGACCAUUUAGCCAUAUAGAAGGAAAAAAUCCAUACAUAAUAGUGCUAAACAUAUAAAGUACCUAGAAAUGACUCUGUGAGAAAUGUGAUAUAAAGAAAAGUGUAAUAUUUUACUCUGAUGCAAAAGAGUUGUAUAUAGAGAUGUUUAAUAGUUCUAGGAGACUGGGCUGAAUAAUGAAAUUUGGGAAGCAGUCUUUAUAGGCUUAAUGCAAUCCCAAUAAAAAUACUAAUAAUUUUUUAAAUGAAAUUAUUUGGGCCCUUUUUGAAGACUAAGUGUGAGAGAAUAAACAGCCUGGAACUUGGUACUUAAUAAAUGCUAGCUCACUUCCUCUUGCUUCCUAGCAAAGUUCUGAUACAUCAAACCACAGUGAUCUCCUUCUUUAAUUCUUAUAAUUACCAUUCAUUUGGUACUUACUGUACAAUGUUUGGCAGUUCUACUUUACAUCAAAUUUUUGGUUAAUUUAUAUUACUGGGUCAUCCAUUUUUUUCUCUCCAAAAUAGACUGUAAGCUCCCUGAAGUCAAGGACUAGGUUUAUAUACUUGUACACCAAUACUUGAUACACACUAGUCAUCUACAGAGAACUGGGAGUGAUAUAGAAAUAGUAGAUGACAUAACUGUCAUUAGUUCACCACCAAAGAAUAAAAAUAAGAUACUGUUAGUCACAGGUGAGGAAGUCAAGCUUGGGGGCUACCUAAACAAUCUAAGUGCCAACCAGUCUUGGUUGGAAUAAGCCUUCUCUUGGCUAGAGCAAUUAUUGCUGAAUAUCAUGUUGGCUGAGGCAUCACUUCAUUCCCAAAAUAUGCCAGAGCCAUUAAGAAGUUGAGGGCCAAUGAAGAUUCUUGCGAAAUAGGGGUGACUAAUUAGAAGAAACACAUGUCUCCUUAAUAGCAGUCAAUGGCCUAGGAAGCCCAAGGAAUGAAUGAAUUCCCCAAUUCCCAAAGCUUCAAGGCAAAACAUUUCAGAAUCAUGCUCUGAGUAGGCCUGGCAGAUUCUCAAAGUAGAGUGGCUGCAAAAUACUCACUUGAUAUUUUAAGCAUAAAAAUUUAUGCUUAAAUUUGUAAAAAUUUGUUAAAGUUGAGGAGAAGAUACUGCUAGUCAGGAAGUAUAUGUGGAGAACAUGAGUAUUAAAUCAGUAUGUGUGCAGUUUCCAAGAACUAUGAGUAAGCAAACCACUUCUUGACUUCAACUGGAUGUCAUUUUACCUAAAUAUAUGCAGGGGAUAUUAAUACUAUACUUUGUGUUUACUUUAACAACCACCAGGCCUGUGUGAAAAUCAGCUUCACAGCCAAAUAAAGUGACAAAAAUGACAACUCCAAGAACACAGAAACCACUUUGCAAGUUUUGCUUGCAUAUUCUGUGUAAUCUCCAGAAAAGAAGUCUUACACAUUUGUGCACUGGCUGCCUUUCCUACCGACUUCCUCAAGCCCCCAUUUAACACCCUGGGCAGGGGUCUUAACAAAAAUGCUAACAUUCAAGUCAUCUAAAUGCCUCUGACCUUCAAAAUGUGUCCACUGUUCUAGCUGUUACUAAGUGGGUAAAUCUCACCCCUAACUUAGAGCUCCAAAUUGCUGAGCAGAACUGUGAUGUUCAGAGCAGCCAUUCACACACUCCUCAGAUGGAGAGAAGGACUGCGAGAG
ensembl:lncRNA